AGUGAACGCUGGCGGUAGGCCUAACACAUGCAAGUCGAACGGCAGCACAGUAAGAGCUUGCUCUUACGGGUGGCGAGUGGCGGACGGGUGAGGAACACAUCGGAAUCUACUUUUUCGUGGGGGAUAACGUAGGGAAACUUACGCUAAUACCGCAUACGACCUACGGGUGAAAGCAGGGGAUCUUCGGACCUUGCGCGAUUGAAUGAGCCGAUGUCGGAUUAGCUAGUUGGCGGGGUAAAGGCCCACCAAGGCGACGAUCCGUAGCUGGUCUGGGAGGAUGAUCAGCCACACUGGAACUGAGACACGGUCCAGACUCCUACGGGAGGCAGCAGUGGGGAAUAUUGGACAAUGGGCGCAAGCCUGAUCCAGCCAUACCGCGUGGGUGAAGAAGGCCUUCGGGUUGUAAAGCCCUUUUGUUGGGAAAGAAAAGCAGCAGGUUAAUACCCCGCUGUUCUGACGGUACCCAAAGAAUAAGCACCGGCUAACUUCGUG
rnacentral:rRNA from 1 species